AGAGUUUGAUCCUGGCUCAGGACGAACGCUGGCGGCGUGCCUAAUACAUGCAAGUAGAACGCUGAAGAGAGGAGCUUGCUCUUCUUGGAUGAGUUGCGAACGGGUGAGUAACGCGUAGGUAACCUGCCUUGUAGCGGGGGAUAACUAUUGGAAACGAUAGCUAAUACCGCAUAACAAUGGAUGACCCAUGUCAUUUAUUUGAAAGGGGCAAAUGCUCCACUACAAGAUAGACCUGCGUUGUAUUAGCUAGUAGGUGAGGUAACGGCUCACCUAGGCGACGAUACAUAGCCGACCUGAGAGGGUGAUCGGCCACACUGGGACUGAGACACGGCCCAGACUCCUACGGGAGGCAGCAGUAGGGAAUCUUCGGCAAUGGGGGCAACCCUGACCGAGCAACGCCGCGUGAGUGAAGAAGGUUUUCGGAUCGUAAAGCUCUGUUGUAAGUCAAGAACGAGUGUGAGAGUGGAAAGUUCACACUGUGACGGUAGCUUACCAGAAAGGGACGGCUAACUACGUGCCAGCAGCCGCGGUAAUACGUAGGUCCCGAGCGUUGUCCGGAUUUAUUGGGCGUAAAGCGAGCGCAGGCGGUUUGAUAAGUCUGAAGUUAAAGGCUGUGGCUCAACCAUAGUUCGCUUUGGAAACUGUCAAACUUGAGUGCAGAAGGGGAGAGUGGAAUUCCAUGUGUAGCGGUGAAAUGCGUAGAUAUAUGGAGGAACACCGGUGGCGAAAGCGGCUCUCUGGUCUGUAACUGACGCUGAGGCUCGAAAGCGUGGGGAGCGAACAGGAUUAGAUACCCUGGUAGUCCACGCCGUAAACGAUGAGUGCUAGGUGUUGGAUCCUUUCCGGGAUUCAGUGCCGCAGCUAACGCAUUAAGCACUCCGCCUGGGGAGUACGACCGCAAGGUUGAAACUCAAAGGAAUUGACGGGGGCCCGCACAAGCGGUGGAGCAUGUGGUUUAAUUCGAAGCAACGCGAAGAACCUUACCAGGUCUUGACAUCCCGAUGCUAUUUCUAGAGAUAGAAAGUUACUUCGGUACAUCGGUGACAGGUGGUGCAUGGUUGUCGUCAGCUCGUGCCGUGAGAUGUUGGGUUAAGUCCCGCAACGAGCGCAACCCCUAUUGUUAGUUGCCAUCAUUCAGUUGGGCACUCUAGCGAGACUGCCGGUAAUAAACCGGAGGAAGGUGGGGAUGACGUCAAAUCAUCAUGCCCCUUAUGACCUGGGCUACACACGUGCUACAAUGGUUGGUACAACGAGUUGCGAGUCGGUGACGGCAAGCUAAUCUCUUAAAGCCAAUCUCAGUUCGGAUUGUAGGCUGCAACUCGCCUACAUGAAGUCGGAAUCGCUAGUAAUCGCGGAUCAGCACGCCGCGGUGAAUACGUUCCCGGGCCUUGUACACACCGCCCGUCACACCACGAGAGUUUGUAACACCCGAAGUCGGUGAGGUAACCUUUUGGAGCCAGCCGCCUAAGGUGGGAUAGAUGAUUGGGGUGAAGUCGUAACAAGGUA
rnacentral:rRNA from 1 species